UACGGAGAGUGCGAACGUUGUUCGGAUUCACUGGGCGUAAAGGGCGCGUAGGCGGCUUAUCAAGUCAGGCGUGAAAUUCCCGGGCUCAACCUGGGGGCUGCGCUUGAUACUGAUUGGCUUGAAUGCGGGAGAGGAUAGUGGAAUUCCCAGUGUAGAGGUGAAAUUCGUAGAUAUUGGGAAGAACACCGGUGGCGAAGGCGGCUAUCUGGCCCGUAAUUGACGCUGAGGCGCGAAAGCGUGGGGAGCAAACAGG
rnacentral:rRNA from 1 species